GCCGAACCGAUCCGUCCGGCUUUCUAGUGGUCGGUUCCCAAUGAAUUGCCAUAUAGGAGACAAUACGCCUGGACGUAUCUGCCUUCCUGCGCCAACGGAAUUUGGGAUCGCCGGUGAUCGUACCAGCCCCCUUGAAAUCUAUGGAAGGAGCCGCUCCGGUUUAAAUUAACCUGUAUUGGGAUCACCGGCGAUCGCCCAUGCAUUCUCUCCGACUCUAGUUUGAGUAGGCACCUCAUAUUUCGUUUAUUUCACAUAUCUCCCUACAGCAACAGAGUAGCAGAAGGAUUCAGCCUUAGCAUCUCCUUGAUUGCUGCUCUUAUGUACUUCAGUUCAUGGAUUCCACUUUCAUCCACAGUGCUUUUCCCCCCAAAACCUGUCUUACUUCAGCUUGAGUCUUCAUCAUCCCGCUGGGAUUUUUCAUCAUUUCCAAAAAUUGCCAAGCUGAAGAAUUCCCGAAAGAUGCCCACAAGCCGCUUUCGGCCGGCUAAAAUUUUUUUUUUUUUUGGUUAAUUUGACGUCGCUUGGAUUUAUCUCGCCAUUUGUGUUCCUUGGAAUCAACGUUUGCGCGGGAUGGAGUUAAACAUGGUUUCGAAUAUCAGAAGCAUGGCAGGAAACAGAAAGGAAGUUGGCGCCGGGGAUGGCAAUUUUUCGUUUGUGCGUGCCCCAACUAUGGUAGAUCGGCAAAGAAAUGGUGACCUUGAGAGAACUUAUAGGGUGUAAUUGGAGAAUUUAUCCAAUAUUUAGGUUCAGGAGAUGGAAGAGAUUGUAAUGAACCGACAACAAUGACUAGUAAAGGGUUACAGUUUUUCACUUGGGAAACGGAUAGCGCUGGAGUAUCUUUGGAAGCAUUUGCGGGUUUAGAAAAAAGAGUGAAGUAAGAUCUCCAUGGGCAAACGGUUUCAGAUAUGCACAUGCAAGCAUCGGAAGAAACACUAAACUUUCAAAGUGAUAUAUGCCACAACCUAACGCAUUUUGAAAUGCUUCCCCCUUUCGUCGAUUGCUGCAGAAGAGAAUUUGGUAAUAUCAGCACCCUAAACUGAUUUCUGUUGAUCUCUUUUCAGGACAUAUUCAGCACCGGCAGUGAGACAUUAUCAACAGCUGUAGAAUGGGCAAUGUCUGAAAUGCUGAAGAACCCCAGCGUGAUGAAGAAGGCACAAGCUGAGAUUAGACAGGUUUUUUUUUUUUUUUUGUUUUUGGGCAAGGAAAUGUGGAUGAAAGUGGCCUUGAUGAAUUGAAGUACUAAAAGCAGUAAUCGAAGAGACCCUGAGGCUGCAUCCUUCUGCUCCUCUGUUACCACUCAAUAGAAAGUAGGGAGAGUUGUGAAAUAAUCGGAUAUGAGGUGCUUGCUCGAACCAGAGUUGUAGCGAAUGCAUGGGCGAUUGCCCGUGAUCCCCAAGUACUGGAAUGAUGCAGAGAAGUUCAAUCCAGAGAGGUUCUUGAUAGUCUGAUAGGUUACAAGUGGACAACUUUCAAAUAUAUGCAUUUGGUGUAGGAAGGUCAAUAUGCCCGGGGAUAUUGUAUGCUAUAACUAACAUUGAGCUGCCACUCGCACAGUUGCUGUACCAUCUGAACUGGGCGCUCCCCAGGGAUGGAAGGAAGAAGAUUUGGAUGACUGAGGUUUUCGGUGUGAUUGUAAGAAGAAAAUGGGAUCUGCACUUGAUUCCCAUUCCCUACAAGUCACCAUCCUAUGCUUUCCAAGUAAACGCACAAGGUUAUUAGAUGUUUGUAAAUUUUAUCUUUCCAAAAGUGAGAAGUUUCUGCCGUAUGUUGAAUACAAUGCAUGAACUAUUUGCCAAUGUGGUGACAUGACUGUUUAGGUUCAUAUGUAAUAUUAACCCUUUAUAUGUGUGGAACAGUGGAUCACAUUGCACCUGUUCUCAUCUUAAAAUGCAAGUUCACUCGUUCAAAGCUUGCA